UGGUGGUGAUGGUGGUGGUCAAAGAUCUAGACUGCAAGAUUGGUGGUGUGGAGGCCAAGGAGUGGAGGGGAGUGGAAGGGAAGUGGAAUACAUUUUUAGGGAGCCCUAUUUGUGUGGCUAGCGGAUGCCAAGGCUUAGUAGGGGGGGAUGUUUUGAAGCCUAAUGUCCUGCCCUGCCCUUCCACUCCCUUCCACUUCGUCUGGCUGGCUGGCUGGCUGGCACUUCUAUUUACUCCACUCUCCGCUUCCACCUACCGAUCCGAAGCACCGACCGCCGACCGCCGCCUCUUGUCCUCCGAUCUUUGCCUUCCUGCGGCCACUGCAGUGAGUGAGCGGAGGCAAUGAAGGCAGGACGCGGACAGCUGAUCACCACCUCGACUCACCUGAUCCGCACCACCAGGUGUGCACCAUCACCAGCAGCACCACCACUCACCAAGCUACUGUGAGUACAAACCUAACCUAAGCUAACCUAAUAUUACUUUAUCUAACAUCACCAAACGUCACCUUAGCUAACCUCACCCUGCCUAACCUAACCUAAACUGUAUAUCAUCUUUCUCAACCUCACCUAACCUCACCUAAUGUCACCUAACUCAACAUCACCUUAUUUAACCUUACCUAACCUAACCUGUUAUAACCUUACCCAACCUCACCAAACAACCUGUCGCCUAACGUAACGCGUAACCUAACCUAUCCUUACCUAACCUCACCAAACUUCAUCUAAACUCACCAAACCUCACCUGUCACAUAACAUACUCUAACCUUACUUUACCUAACCUCACCAAACUUCAUCUAAACCUCACCAAACUCCACCGAACCUCACCUGUCGCAUAACAUACUCUAACCUUAUUUUACCCAACCUCACCAAACUUCAUCUAAACUCACCAAACCUCACCAAACCUCAUCUGAGACUUAACCUAACAUGACUUUACUUUACCUAACCUCGCCUAACGUAACCUUACCCUAUUUCACCUAAUCUAAUCUCACCUAACCAUCUCUGAGUACAAACUAUUGCGUUAUAUAUUUUUUUUUUGGGGGGGGUGGCCUUACCUCUCUCUCUCUCUCUCUCUCUCUCUCUCUCUCUUUUUUUUUUUAUCCCAAAUCUAUUACUCUUGUCACUUUUUUUUCCUUCCGUUCCUUUGUCAGCUUGCUUUCAUAUUCCGUGUGAUGCACCUCGUCUUUUUUUAUUGGGAAUGGCUGUGUGUGUUAUUCAUUCCUUCAUUUAUUUAUUCAUUUAUGUGUCUCUUUGUGUUUUGUUUGUUUCAU